GCCCCUGCCUGCCUGCAGCUAAGGAUGAAAGUCUAUGCUGCCUGCCUGCCUGGGC
rnacentral:misc_RNA from 1 species